rnacentral:rRNA from 1 species
UACGUAGGGUCCAAGCGUUAUCCGGAAUCACUGGGCGUAAAGCGUGCGUAGGUGGCGCGUUAAGUGUGAUGUUAAAUCGCGGGGCUCAACCCUGUCGAUGCAUCGCAUACUGGCGUGCUAGAGGGAAGCAGAGGCAAGUGGAAUUGGUAGUGUAGCAGUGAAAUGCGUAGAUAUUACCGGGAACACCAAUGGCGAAGGCAGCUUGCUGGGCUUCUUCUGACACUGAGGUACGAAAGCGUGGGGAGCGAACAGG